rnacentral:rRNA from 1 species
GCGGCGGACGGGUGAGUAACGCGUGGGAACGUGCCCUCUUCUCUGGAAUAGCCUCGGGAAACUGGGGGUAAUGCCGGAUACGCCCUUUUGGGGAAAGAUUUAUCGGAGGAGGAUCGGCCCGCGUUGGAUUAGGUAGUUGGUGGGGUAAUGGCCUACCAAGCCGACGAUCCAUAGCUGGUUUGAGAGGAUGAUCAGCCACACUGGGACUGAGACACGGCCCAGACUCC